rnacentral:rRNA from 1 species
CCAACGUGGCCCAGUUGGUCCCAUAGACUUCGACACAAAGUCGAGAUC